GACAGAGGGGGCAAGCGUUGCUCGGAAUCACUGGGCGUAAAGGGCGCGUAGGCGGGAUGGCAAGUCGGUCGUGAAAUCCUUCGGCUCAACCGAAGAACGUCGGCCGAUACUGCCGUUCUUGAGGGAUGCAGAGGAGAUUGGAAUUCCCGGUGUAGCGGUGAAAUGUGUAGAGAUCGGGAGGAACACCGGUGGCGAAGGCGGAUCUCUGGGCCUUACCUGACGCUGAGGCGCGAAAGCUAGGGGAGCGAACAGG
rnacentral:rRNA from 1 species